rnacentral:lncRNA from 1 species
AUGACGUGCCUGCGGCCCUCCAGGACCAGGGUUGCCGACCCCUGGACUAGAGUCCCGUCCAGGGCCAGGGUUGCCGACCCCUGGACUAGAGUCCCGUCCAGGGUUGCCGACCCCUGGACUAAAGUCCCGUCCAGGGCGUGCACGCGUACAUCAACCUGCCUCAUGCUACAGAGACAGAGAUCUGCUGCCAUGAGUGGAGGUGAUAUGGUCUGUGGUGGUUCUGGCUCACACAAGGCUACUUACAUAUUUUGUCAUCAAGUGGGAGAAGUCGAUGCAUAUUUCUCAACAGUGAAAUGUAAUGAUGUUCAGCAUGGCAUCUCAGAAUCAAACAUUACUAAAGUCUGCAUCAUAUUUCAUACAAUCCUAUAGGAUUAAUAACCAUGAAAUGUUAAUGAGUUUAAAAUCAAAAUCUAAGAAACAAGCAAACAAAUAGAUGAGUUCAUUAAUGGGGAGGUGUUGGAUAGUGACAAUAGGAAGUCAGUCCAACAGUUA